rnacentral:tRNA from 1 species
GGGACUAUAGCUCAGUUGGUUAGAGCUACCGGCUCAUAACCGGUUGGUCCAAGGUUCGAGUCCUUGUAGUCCCACCA